AGUGGUGAUGAAAUAGAAGUCAUGCUAAUUUCAAGUGUUAAUGAAGCAGAAUCCAUCCUGAUGUGAAGUGGCACAAGAUAUGAGUGUGGACAUUGGAGGUAAUUCUCUCCUGGAGCCUCACUCCAUGAGCACUCGCUCCACGAAAAGCUGCUUUGGUUUCAGAGGGAGUGAAGCUGAUCCGGAGGUGUUGACAGAUUUGUGGCAGUGCUGCCUGGGCCCUGCAGGAUGCAGCUCUAGGUGUGAAAUGGGAUAGUGAUAUGAAAAUGCCUCCAGUUUCAUAGAUGAAAAGCCUCUUACAGAACUGAUGUAUUCUAUUUUUUCUCUCCAAAAUCAUAACCAUGACAUUUCACUUUUUUUCUCUUGCUUCAGCCUCUUGUGCUUUGCUCAAAAGGAGUUCCCUUUGCUCCCUCACGUAAAAUAAACAUAAUUUAAAGUCACUUU
rnacentral:lncRNA from 1 species